AUAAUGCGGAAUAGGUGGUUGGAGUUUGUUGGUCCCCAGUGGUGACGAAGUGCACAGUUGGGUGCCAGACUGAUCCCUUGUUUAUUAAUGGAUGCCGGGAUCUACCAGAAGGAGCAAAGCUUGUCAGGCAAGACCACAGAAUAACAGUGUGUCGUGACACAAGGACCCUUGAGACACCUCCUCCAUUGUUGCCAGAGUCUCCCUCGACUCCUAUGAAAAGGACACGCCAUCAUGAGGCGUCUGAUAGUGACCUGAUUACUGCCCUGAUGACACAGACAGCUUCAUCAAC